AGGAGAAUAGUUUAAAAUAAAACAUUUUCCCUGCAAGAAAAAUAUAUCCAUAAGAUUUCUCUUA
rnacentral:tRNA from 1 species